rnacentral:rRNA from 1 species
UAUUAAUAAGCGGAAGAAAAGAAACCAACUGGGAUUCUAUUAGUAAUGGCGAAUGAACAUAGAAAGGCCAUCAUUGAAUUCUACUACAUUAUGUAGAUGAAAGUGUGAUGUUGGCGUCAUUAUCUAUGGUGCUGAUGAGUGGUGUAAGUUCGAUUGAACACGACUUUCCCAGAGAGGGUGAAAGGCCCUUGACAUCGCUAUUUUGGUAUUCUGAUAAUGAUGGUUGAGUAGAAUUGCUUGAGACCGCAGUUCGAAGAUGUGUGGCAAACCCCAUACAAGUCUAGAUAUAGUUGCGAGGCCGAUAGCGAACAAGUACCAUGAGGGAAAGUUGAAAAGUACUCUGAAAAGAGAGUUCACAAGUGCGUGAAACUGUACACUGUAAAGCGAAUGAUUGAGCGAUCAGGAUAACUAUCACUCAAGUGACAUGUAUGUUUCAAAGAUUUGCAAAAUCUUUGCGUUAAUUGUGAUGUACAUGGUGCUGUACUUGAUUGUGUCUAGAAUUGCUUGGUGGGCUAGCGUUAGCAUAGCUAUUUGUCGGAAAAGAGUUUCUUCUAGAUUCUCUUAGAGCGUAUUGCUUUUGAACUGUUUUUUACAGUCGGUUUUGCUGGCCCAUUUCUGAAAUAUGCCUAUAACUGUUUACACUGUAUAUGUGCAACUAUCGUUAAGUGAAAUUGUGCAUGUGUUGUCAGUAAGUUAAAGGUUCGUGAAAAGCAAUUGUCUUUGCUGUGAAUUAUUCGAA